rnacentral:rRNA from 1 species
GACGAACGCUGGCGGCGCGCCUAACACAUGCAAGUCGAACGAGCGAGAGAGAGCUUGCUUUCUCGAGCGAGUGGCGAACGGGUGAGUAACGCGUGAGGAACCUGCCUCAAAGAGGGGGACAACAGUUGGAAACGACUGCUAAUACCGCAUAAGCCCACGGCUCGGCAUCGAGCAGAGGGAAAAGGAGUAAUCCGCUUUGAGAUGGCCUCGCGUCCGAUUAGCUAGUUGGUGAGGUAAUGGCCCACCAAGGCGACGAUCGGUAGCCGGACUGAGAGGUUGAACGGCCACAUUGGGACUGAGACACGGCCCAGACUCCUACGGGAGGCAGCAGUGGGGAAUAUUGCACAAUGGGGGAAACCCUGAUGCAGCGACGCCGCGUGGAGGAAGAAGGUCUUCGGAUUGUAAACUCCUGUUGUUGAGGAAGAUAAUGACGGUACUCAACAAGGAAGUGAACGGCUAACUACGUGCCAGCAGCCGCGGU